rnacentral:rRNA from 1 species
ACAACGAAGAGUUUGAUCCUGGCUCAGGAUGAACGCUAGCGACAGGCUUAACACAUGCAAGUCGAGGGGCAGCGGGGGUAGCGAUACCCGCCGGCGACCGGCGCACGGGUGAGUAACGCGUAUGCAACUUGCCUAUCAGAGGGGGAUAACCCGGCGAAAGUCGGACUAAUACCGCAUGAAGCAGGGAUCCCGCAUGGGAAUAUUUGCUAAAGAUUCAUCGCUGAUAGAUAGGCAUGCGUUCCAUUAGGCAGUUGGCGGGGUAACGGCCCACCAAACCGACGAUGGAUAGGGGUUCUGAGAGGAAGGUCCCCCACAUUGGUACUGAGACACGGACCAAACUCCUACGGGAGGCAGCAGUGAGGAAUAUUGGUCAAUGGGCGCGAGCCUGAACCAGCCAAGUCGCGUGAGGGAUGAAGGUUCUAUGGAUCGUAAACCUCUUUUAUAAGGGAAUAAAGUGCGGGACGUGUCCCGUUUUGUAUGUACCUUAUGAAUAAGGAUCGGCUAACUCCGUGCCAGCAGCCGCGGUAAUACGGAGGAUCCGAGCGUUAUCCGGAUUUAUUGGGUUUAAAGGGUGCGUAGGCGGCCUUUUAAGUCAGCGGUGAAAGUCUGUGGCUCAACCAUAGAAUUGCCGUUGAAACUGGGAGGCUUGAGUAUGUUUGAGGCAGGCGGAAUGCGUGGUGUAGCGGUGAAAUGCUUAGAUAUCACGCAGAACCCCGAUUGCGAAGGCAGCCUGCCAAGCCAUGACUGACGCUGAUGCACGAAAGCGUGGGGAUCAAACAGGAUUAGAUACCCUGGUAGUCCACGCAGUAAACGAUGAUCACUAGCUGUUUGCGAUACAUUGUAAGCGGCACAGCGAAAGCGUUAAGUGAUCCACCUGGGGAGUACGCCGGCAACGGUGAAACUCAAAGGAAUUGACGGGGGCCCGCACAAGCGGAGGAACAUGUGGUUUAAUUCGAUGAUACGCGAGGAACCUUACCCGGGUUUGAACGCAUUCGGACCGAGGUGGAAACACCUUUUCUAGCAAUAGCCGUUUGCGAGGUGCUGCAUGGUUGUCGUCAGCUCGUGCCGUGAGGUGUCGGCUUAAGUGCCAUAACGAGCGCAACCCUUGCCACUAGUUACUAACAGGUAAAGCUGAGGACUCUGGUGGGACUGCCAGCGUAAGCUGCGAGGAAGGCGGGGAUGACGUCAAAUCAGCACGGCCCUUACAUCCGGGGCGACACACGUGUUACAAUGGCGUGGACAAAGGGAAGCCACCUGGCGACAGGGAGCGAAUCCCCAAACCACGUCUCAGUUCGGAUCGGAGUCUGCAACCCGACUCCGUGAAGCUGGAUUCGCUAGUAAUCGCGCAUCAGCCAUGGCGCGGUGAAUACGUUCCCGGGCCUUGUACACACCGCCCGUCAAGCCAUGGGAGCCGGGGGUACCUGAAGUCCGUAACCGCGAGGAUCGGCCUAGGGUAAAACUGGUGACUGGGGCUAAGUCGUAACAAGGUAGCCGUACCGGAAGGUGCGGCUGGAACACCUCCUUU